rnacentral:snRNA from 1 species
AGCUUUGUGCAGGGGCAGUAUCGUAGCCAAUGAGGUUUAUUCGAGGCGCGAUUAUUGCUAAUUGAAGACAGAGCUUGAAU